GUGAAAUUUAAAACAUACAGAAUAAAGGUGAUGAUGAACAGUUCGGAACCACCAUGGGAACAGAAGACAAAACAUUUCAAGGUCUUAGCCUCUGACCUCUCAUCCAUUAAAAGAAAGGAGGGUGUGGCUCUCUGCCACCUGCUGCAGCCUUGGUGUGUCAUGCCGCCCGGGCCUCGAGGCCAGUGGCCACCUGAUAACAGACUGGACCCACCACAGUUUUCCUCAUAGGCCGAUGUGGUGGGUGCUUAUUGUGGUUCCAGCACAGUGAAAGUGACCAUGGGGCAGUGAAGAGUGCUGGACAGCCUGACCCACGCAUCUGCUGAGCUCGGGCAGGUCCCCUCCCUGUGCAGAGAUGCUCCUGGAGAAAGUGGCCUAUGACACCCCUUGGACACGGGGUCCAUCCUUCCACGGGAGCUCAAACUGAGAAGGUGGUGCAGAGAGCCGAUCACAGGGUUCAGUACAUGCCAAGUCUGAGCAGGUGUAGAUCAAGACUGGAGAUCUUUCUUAAGAGAAGGGAGUUCAGAAAGAAAAGGCUGACCAGGAACAGCCUUCCCUGAGCAUAGCAGAGCCCUGUCUGUGCUCGGGUGGUGAGGUUUCUUCGUAUGCACCCGAUUCCUGUCCGACAAUACAGUGCUGUGGCUCAGAACGAUCGACCCUGCGUGUGCAGAGCCAUGACGUCACCACCUAGUGCACAUCUUGUCUUCCUGUUGGGUGCAAUCCUGCAGGAUUUACAUGCCCUACAACUUGGUGAUCCAGAUACGUGACUGGGCAUUAGGCUCAUGAGGGGCUACGACGUUGACUUUGACACUGGACCUUCCUACCAUGACACUGAUGAGUCACUGUUAAGUGGUUAAUGUCAACAAAUGUUCCCAUCACUUCUGAAUUCUUGCCAAGCCUAGAAGUUUCCUGGGGACUAAUGUUCAACAACACCAAUUUCCAAGAAUUUCUUCAAGUUUUAGAAGGACUCCUGGUACUUACUGAAUCUGUGAAACCAAAUGA